rnacentral:rRNA from 1 species
UACGGAGGGUGCAAGCGUUGUUCGGAAUUACUGGGCGUAAAGCGCGCGUAGGCGGUUUGUUAAGUCAGAUGUGAAAGUCCACGGCUCAACCGUGGAAGUGCAUUUGAAACUGGCAGGCUUGAGUACUGGAGGGGGUGGUGGAAUUCCCGGUGUAGAGGUGAAAUUCGUAGAUAUCGGGAGGAAUACCGGUGGCGAAGGCGACCACCUGGCCAGAUACUGACGCUGAGGUGCGAAAGCGUGGGGAGCAAACAGG